rnacentral:rRNA from 1 species
GAUUAAGUUAUUAAGGGCGCACGGUGGAUGCCUUGGCACUAGAAGCCGAUGAAGGACGUUACUAACGACGAUAUGCUUUGGGGAGCUGUAAGUAAGCUUUGAUCCAGAGAUUUCCGAAUGGGGAAACCCAGCAUGAGUUAUGUCAUGUUAUCGAUAUGUGAAUACAUAGCAUAUCAGAAGGCACACCCGGAGAACUGAAACAUCUUAGUACCCGGAGGAAGAGAAAGAAAAUUCGAUUCCCUUAGUAGCGGCGAGCGAAACGGGAAGAGCCCAAACCAACAAGCUUGCUUGUUGGGGUUGUAGGACACUCUAUACGGAGUUACAAAGGACGACAUUAGACGAAUCAUCUGGAAAGAUGAAUCAAAGAAGGUAAUAAUCCUGUAGUCGAAAAUGUUGUCUCUCUUGAGUGGAUCCUGAGUACGACGGAGCACGUGAAAUUCCGUCGGAAUCUGGGAGGACCAUCUCCUAAGGCUAAAUACUCUCUAGUGACCGAUAGUGAACCAGUACCGUGAGGGAAAGGUGAAAAGCACCCCGGAAGGGGAGUGAAAUAGAACCUGAAACCGUGUGCUUACAAGUAGUCAGAGCCCGUUAAUGGGUGAUGGCGUGCCUUUUGUAGAAUGAACCGGCGAGUUACGAUUUGAUGCAAGGUUAAGCAGUAAAUGUGGAGCCGUAGCGAAAGCGAGUCUGAAUAGGGCGUUUAGUAUUUGGUCGUAGACCCGAAACCAGGUGAUCUACCCUUGGUCAGGUUGAAGUUCAGGUAACACUGAAUGGAGGACCGAACCGACUUACGUUGAAAAGUGAGCGGAUGAACUGAGGGUAGCGGAGAAAUUCCAAUCGAACCUGGAGAUAGCUGGUUCUCUCCGAAAUAGCUUUAGGGCUAGCCUCAAGUGAUGAUUAUUGGAGGUAGAGCACUGUUUGGACGAGGGGCCCCUCUCGGGUUACCGAAUUCAGACAAACUCCGAAUGCCAAUUAAUUUAACUUGGGAGUCAGAACAUGGGUGAUAAGGUCCGUGUUCGAAAGGGAAACAGCCCAGACCACCAGCUAAGGUCCCAAAAUAUAUGUUAAGUGGAAAAGGAUGUGGCGUUGCCCAGACAACUAGGAUGUUGGCUUAGAAGCAGCCAUCAUUUAAAGAGUGCGUAAUAGCUCACUAGUCGAGUGACACUGCGCCGAAAAUGUACCGGGGCUAAACAUAUUACCGAAGCUGUGGAUUGUCCUUUGGACAAUGGUAGGAGAGCGUUCUAAGGGCGUUGAAGCAUGAUCGUAAGGACAUGUGGAGCGCUUAGAAGUGAGAAUGCCGGUGUGAGUAGCGAAAGACGGGUGAGAAUCCCGUCCACCGAUUGACUAAGGUUUCCAGAGGAAGGCUCGUCCGCUCUGGGUUAGUCGGGUCCUAAGCUGAGGCCGACAGGCGUAGGCGAUGGAUAACAGGUUGAUAUUCCUGUACCACCUAUAAUCGUUUUAAUCGAUGGGGGGACGCAGUAGGAUAGGCGAAGCGUGCGAUUGGAUUGCACGUCUAAGCAGUAAGGCUGAGUAUUAGGCAAAUCCGGUACUCGUUAAGGCUGAGCUGUGAUGGGGAGAAGACAUCGUGUCUUCGAGUCGUUGAUUUCACACUGCCGAGAAAAGCCUCUAGAUAGAAAAUAGGUGCCCGUACCGCAAACCGACACAGGUAGUCAAGAUGAGAAUUCUAAGGUGAGCGAGCGAACUCUCGUUAAGGAACUCGGCAAAAUGAUCCCGUAACUUCGGGAGAAGGGGUGCUCUUUAGGGUUAACGCCCAGAAGAGCCGCAGUGAAUAGGCCCAAGCGACUGUUUAUCAAAAACACAGGUCUCUGCUAAACCGUAAGGUGAUGUAUAGGGGCUGACGCCUGCCCGGUGCUGGAAGGUUAAGAGGAGUGGUUAGCUUCUGCGAAGCUACGAAUCGAAGCCCCAGUAAACGGCGGCCGUAACUAUAACGGUCCUAAGGUAGCGAAAUUCCUUGUCGGGUAAGUUCCGACCCGCACGAAAGGCGUAACGAUUUGGGCACUGUCUCAACGAGAGACUCGGUGAAAUCAUAGUACCUGUGAAGAUGCAGGUUACCCGCGACAGGACGGAAAGACCCCGUGGAGCUUUACUGUAGCCUGAUAUUGAAAUUCGGCACAGCUUGUACAGGAUAGGUAGGAGCCUUUGAAACGUGAGCGCUAGCUUACGUGGAGGCGCUGGUGGGAUACUACCCUAGCUGUGUUGGCUUUCUAACCCGCACCACUUAUCGUGGUGGGAGACAGUGUCAGGCGGGCAGUUUGACUGGGGCGGUCGCCUCCUAAAAGGUAACGGAGGCGCUCAAAGGUUCCCUCAGAAUGGUUGGAAAUCAUUCAUAGAGUGUAAAGGCAUAAGGGAGCUUGACUGCGAGACCUACAAGUCGAGCAGGGUCGAAAGACGGACUUAAUGAUCCGGUGGUUCCGCAUGGAAGGGCCAUCGCUCAACGGAUAAAAGCUACCCCGGGGAUAACAGGCUUAUCUCCCCCAAGAGUUCACAUCGACGGGGAGGUUUGGCACCUCGAUGUCGGCUCAUCGCAUCCUGGGGCUGUAGUCGGUCCCAAGGGUUGGGCUGUUCGCCCAUUAAAGCGGUACGCGAGCUGGGUUCAGAACGUCGUGAGACAGUUCGGUCCCUAUCCGUCGUGGGCGUAGGAAAUUUGAGAGGAGCUGUCCUUAGUACGAGAGGACCGGGAUGGACAUACCUCUGGUGUACCAGUUGUCGUGCCAACGGCAUAGCUGGGUAGCUAUGUGUGGACGGGAUAAGUGCUGAAAGCAUCUAAGCAUGAAGCCCCCCUCAAGAUGAGAUUUCCCAACUUCGGUUAUAAGAUCCCUCAAAGAUGAUGAGGUUAAUAGGUUCGAGGUGGAAGCAUGGUGACAUGUGGAGCUGACGAAUACUAAUCGAUCGAAGACUUAAUCAA